AGGAAUAUGGUCUAAUGGUUACGACGCCUCGCUUACAUCGAGGAAAGUUUGGGUUCGAUUCCCAAUGUUCCUA
rnacentral:tRNA from 1 species